UACAGAGGGUGCAAGCGUUGUUCGGAAUUAUUGGGCGUAAAGCGCGUGUAGGCGGCCUUGCAAGUCGGGUGUGAAAGCCCUCAGCUCAACUGAGGAAGUGCGCCCGAAACUGCAGAGCUUGAGUGCCGGAGAGGAUGGCGGAAUUCCCCAAGUAGAGGUGAAAUUCGUAGAUAUGGGGAGGAACACCGGUGGCGAAGGCGGCCAUCUGGACGGCAACUGACGCUGAGACGCGAAAGCGUGGGGAGCGAACAGG
rnacentral:rRNA from 1 species